UGCUCAGUACGAGAGGAACCGCAGAUUCAGACAUUUGGUUCAUGUGCUUGGCUGAUAAGCCAAUGGUGCGAAGCUACCAUCUGAGGGAUUAUGACUGAACGCCUCUCUAAAUCAGAAUCCCGCCUGGAAAGCGACGAUGCAUUCGUGCCUCGGCCUCGAGAGGCGUAGCUAGACGGCCGCGUGGCCGUGGAAAGAGCCCGAUUCCGACCCGAGAGGCCGCGGCAAGAGGCGGCCUCGAAGUCGGUGGAUCCUCCUGCUCGAAAGGCGGGGUGCUAAACCAUUCGCAGACGACCUAGUUGAAGAUCGGGGUGUCGUGAUCACUAGAGCAGUACAUCUCACUGCGAUUUGUUGAGAGUAAGCCUCAAGAUCUGUCGGUUUGU
rnacentral:ncRNA from 1 species